GGCUUAGAAGCAGCCAUCCUUUAAAGAAAGCGUAACAGCUCACUCAUCUAGAGAAUUCGCGCCGCAAAUAAUCGGGGCUAAAAUGUAGUACCGAAGCUGAGGGUUUGUGCAUUUCAUGGAGGAUAUAAUUCCUUCAAAUAGUUUUUUCAAUUGGUUUAUUAUAAAAGCCGGGAAGUAGCUCAGUUGGCUAGAGCGUCACCUUACAAAGGUGGAGGCCGCGGGUUCAAAUCCAGCCUUCUCGACUUUUAUAACCAAUUAAAUUAAUUUAUUCCAAACAUUAAGUUUGGAUCUUCCAUGAAAUGCAUAAGCGGUAGGAGAGUAUUGUACUCUGCGAUGAAGCGGAAGGCGUGAGCCACCGUGGAGCGUGUACAAGUAAGAAUGUUGGCACAAGUAACCGCAAGACAGGUGAAAUCCCUGUCCGCCGAAAGACUAAGGUUUCCGCUGCAACGACAAUCGACAGCGGGUUAGUCGGGCCUAAGGAGAUGGCGAUAGCCGCAUCCGAUGGACACAUGGUUAAUAUUCCAUGACUUUAUUGCAAGCGAUGGAGGGACGGAGAACAUAAUUCCCCACGCAUUAUUGGAUUUGACGCUCGUACUGGUAGAGAGGAUAUUUAGGAAAAUCCGGAUAUCACAUACUCUCGAAAGAGCGACGACUGGAGCCCUCGGGUUCCAGAAGGGGGAAGAAUAGUCUUCCAAGAAAAUCUUCUAGCAUUCAAUUGCAAUGAAUCCGUACCGUAAACCGACACAGGUAGUCAGGUCGAGUAGACCAAGGCGAACGAGUGAGUAAUCCUCAAGGAACUCGGCAAAAAAGCAGCCGUAACUUUGGAAUAAGGCUUGCCCAUGUUUAACUACAUGGGCCGCAGCGAAAGUAUCUCUGGCGACUGUUUAUCAAAAACACAGCUCCCUGCGAAAUCGUAAGAUGAUGUAUAGGGGGUGACACCUGACCAAUGCCAGAAGGUUAAAUAUCGGUGGUACACAGCAUACUGUGUAUGACGAAAGUCGUACUUAGCAUGCUGUGUGCUGGCUGAUAUAAGCCCUGGUGAAUGUCGGCCGUAACUAUAACGGUCCUAAGGUAGCGAAAUUCCUUGUCGGGUAAAUUCCGACGCGCACGAAUGGUGUAACGACUGGAGAACUGUCUCGAGGAUUAGCUCGGUGAAAAUACAAUACCGGUGAAGAUGCCGGUUACCUGCAGUUAGACGAAAAGACCCCGGGAGCUUUACUAUAGCUUCACAUUGGGCAUAUUGGAAUUGUGCGUAGCAUAGGUGGGAGAGGUUAUGCGUAUGGUCUUGGCUAUACGAUACUCGUCAGUGAAAUACCACUCUCAAUUUUGAUAUGUCCUAACCUGGACGAAAAAACGUUCAGAGACAGUGUGUGGUGGGUAGUUUGUUUGGGGCGAAUCCCUCCUAAAUUGUAACGGAGGGGCCUAUAAAGGUCAGCUAGGCGUGAAUGGAAACCAUGCCGAUAGUGUAAUGGCACAAGCUGGCUUGACUGCAAGACGUACAUGUCGAGCAGGUGCGAAAGCAGAGCAUAGUGAACCGACCUAACGCUUUAGAUGCGUGGGAAGAUCAACGGAUAAAAGCUACCCCGGGGAUAACAGGCUAGUAUCGCCCGAGAGUUCAUAUCGACGGCGGCGUUCGCCACCCCGAUGUCGGCUCAUCCU
rnacentral:tRNA from 1 species